rnacentral:lncRNA from 1 species
AACAGAGCUUCAGAACCUCAAUCAGAGGAAUGAUUUGGUGAUUUUAAGAGGAUUUGAAAUCUUUGGAUUGUUUAAAAUAACAAAGGCCUCUAAGCUCUGAGUGUGACAAUGAAG